CGGGAAACUGGGGAUAAUACCCUAUAGACUAUGGAUGCUGGAAUGCUCUGUAGCCGAAAGGUCCGCCGCUGUAGGAUGGGUCUGCGGCCGAUUAGGUUGUUGUUGGGGUAACGGCCCAACAAGCCUGUAAUCGGUACGGGGUGUGGGAGCAAGAGCCCCGAGAUGGAAUCUGAGACACGAAAUCAGGCCCUUACGGGGCGCAGCAGGGGCGAAAACUUUACAAUGCGGGAAACCGUGAUAAGGGAACUCUGAGUGCCCGUAAAAUCGGGCUGUCCAUCAGUUUAAAUAACUGGUGAAGAAAGGGCCGGGCAAGACCGGUGCCAGCCGCCGCGGUAACA
rnacentral:rRNA from 1 species